AUGGGUAGAAGUAGGGUCAAUCCUAUUUGGGGUAAGAUUUGGAAAUUAGCUUGUCCGGCGAAGGUGAAUUUUUUUAUCUGGCGUACAUUGCAUGGGACACUACUGUGUUGUAUUACCCUGGCCAAUAGACACAUAAAAAUUUCACCCAAUUGCCUAGCAUGUUCAAAUGGGCCAGAGGAUACAAAGCAUGUGUUGUUUCUGUGUCAGAAGGCAAAAGAAGUGUGGGAAAAGUUGGGGAUGUAUGGAGCAGUUAAAAAAGCUUGUGCGGUUGAUCAUGCAGGGGAGGCAGUCCUCGAAUCAUUACUCCUCAUGCCACAACAAGAAUUUUCUUUAUCGGAUUCACAUAACGCACGGGAGCUGAUUGCUAUAACCGCAUGGUAUUUAUGGUGGAAUAGACGUAAACUGGUUCACGAGGGAAAGUCUCAAGAGGUAUGUCAAACCUCGAUGGGAAUUCGUGCUAUAACAACAAAUUUUGUAAAUUCCCAUUCCCCUAAUGCAAAUAGGAAGAUUGGAGGGUGGAGUAGACCUCCUAGGGGCUUUGUUAAAUUGAAUGUGGAUGCUACCUUCAAUCAUGAUCUACUAAAGGGCACAGCGGGGGCUGUCCUCAAGGAUGACAAAGGAAUCUUCAUUGUAGGUGGAAAUUGGAAGAUUGAUUGUUGCGUUGAUGUCCUGACAGCGGAAGCAUUAGCACUUAGGUUUGGCUUAUCGCUAGCACAGAAGGUGGGUUGCAAUCGUCUUGUUAUCAACUCUGACAAUAUGGAAGUCAUUGACACAAUGAAGAAUGGAGGACACUCUGCAGGAGCGGCAUCAGCAAUUUUUGAUGACUGUUUUUAUAGCUUGUGA
rnacentral:rRNA from 1 species